rnacentral:rRNA from 1 species
UACGUAGGCAGCGAGCGUUGUUCGGAGUUACUGGGCGUAAAGGGUGUGUAGGCGGUUGUUUAAGUUUGGUGUGAAAUCUCCCGGCUCAACUGGGAGGGUGCGCCGAAUACUGAAUGACUUGGAGUGCGGGAGAGGAAAGUGGAAUUCCUGGUGUAGCGGUGAAAUGCGUAGAUAUCAGGAGGAACACCGGUGGUGUAGACGGCUUUCUGUACCGUAACUGACGCUGAGACACGAAAGCGUGGGUAUCAAACAGG